rnacentral:rRNA from 1 species
UACGGGGGGGGGCAAGCGUUGUUCGGAAUUACUGGGCGUAAAGGGCUCGUAGGCGGCCAACUAAGUCAGACGUGAAAUCCCUCGGCUUAACCGGGGAACUGCGUCUGAUACUGGAUGGCUCGAGUUUGGGAGAGGGAUGCGGAAUUCCAGGUGUAGCGGUGAAAUGCGUAGAUAUCUGGAGGAACACCGGUGGCGAAGGCGGCAUCCUGGACCAACAACUGACGCUGAUGAGCGAAAGCCAGGGGAGCAAACGGG